GGAUAACAGGAGGAAACUCCUGCUAAUACCGCAUAGCCAUGAGCACCGCAUGGAGCUCAUGCCAAAUAUCCUUUCGGGGAUAGCGCAGGGAUGGACCUAUGGCGCAUUAGCUUGUUGGCGGGACAACGGCCCACCAAGGCAACGAUGCGUAGCCGGCCUGAGAGGGCGGACGGCCACAUUGGGACUGAGACACGGCCCAGACUCCUACGGGAGGCAGCAGUAGGGAAUUUUCGGCAAUGGGGGAAACCCUGACCGAGCAACGCCGCGUGAGCGAAGAAGGCCUUCGGGUCGUAAAGCUCUGUUGUAAAGGAAGAACGGCGCAUACAGGAAAUGGUAUGCGAGUGACGGUACUUUACCAGAAAGCCACGGCUAACUACGUGCCAGCAGCCGCGGUAAUACGUAGGUGGCGAGCGUUAUCCGGAAUCAUUGGGCGUAAAGAGGGAGCAGGCGGCCGCAAGGGUCUGUGGUGAAAGACCGAAGCUAAACUUCGGUAAGCCAUGGAAACCGGGCGGCUAGAGUGCGGAAGAGGAUCGUGGAAUUCCAUGUGUAGCGGUGAAAUGCGUAGAUAUAUGGAGGAACACCAGUGGCGAAGGCGACGGUCUGGGCCGCAACUGACGCUCAUUCCCGAAAGCGUGGGGAGCAAAUAGGAUUAGAUACCCUAGUAGUCCACGCCGUAAACGAUGGUCACUAAGUGUCGGGGGUCAAACCCCGGUGCUGCAG
rnacentral:rRNA from 1 species